CUGGCGUUAUACAGCCCCCAGCCAUCGCCUGGAGGGCAUCCAGUGUCUGUUAUCACUCACCUCAGGUAGUCUGUGAAGGUCCAGUCAUCACUGGCGCACGUGUAUCUUACCUGUGAUCAACACCGGCAGCCACAGACUCCUGCCCAAGGAACGAACACAGUGAUCGUGAUGACAUUGACAACAAUGAGCAAGUCCUCCUAGACCUACAGUGACCUCAAGCUGGGCCAAACAUGAUGUGGAAGAAGAAAUCAUUUGUCUCCCAUCAGUCGGGUUUGUGCCAUGGCAGCUUUCUCCAGCUGUCCGGCAGAGGUCCAGUCCAUGCCAUAGAGAAAUUCAGCCCCCAACAAGGAGAUGGCAUGCCAGAGAUGGAUCCGCAGCUUCUCCUCCAAUCAGUCAAUCCUUGCAAUCCCUUUUCUCUUUUCUCUCCUUCUGUACCACCAUGCUUACACAUAAUUGAUCCAAGGUACUUAAACUCGUUAACCUCCUCCAUUUCUUCACCAUUCAAAAUUAUUUGGCAUUCUUUUUCACAUUCAAUGGGCACUCUAUAUGGGCAUACAAAAUCUACAACCUCCCUUCUACUCUGCUCACUCGCUCUGCUCACAAACCAUCACUUUACUUUUGUUGACAUUUAUUUUCAACUUUCUCCUUUUACAUACACUAUCAAACACUGACCAAAUUUUGUAAGUCACUUUCAUUUUCUGCAAUGAGCACCGUGUCAUCAGCAAAUAAGAUUGAAUUCAUCACCCACUUCCUUCCCUCAGCAUACAUUUUUACUUCAAUUUCCCCAACUUUGCUCUUCAUUUUUCAUAACACUAUCCAUAUAAAUAUUGAACAACCAUGGUGACAUGACACACCCCUGCCUUAAGCCCACUUUCAUCUCAAAAUGUUCACUUGUUUCUCCAGUAAUUU